GAUGAAGAACGCAGCGAAAUGCGAUAAGUAAUGCGAAUUGCAGAAUUCAGCGAGUCAUCGAAUCUUUGAACGCACAUUGCGCCCCUUGGUAUUCCGAGGGGCAUGCCUGUUCGAGCGUCAUUACACCACUCAAGCUAUGCUUGGUAUUGGGCGUCGUCCUUAGUUGGGCGCGCCUUAAAGACCUCGGCGAGGCCACUCCGGCUUUAGGCGUAGUAGAAUUUAUUCGAACGUCUGUCAAAGGAGAGGAACUCUGCCGACUGAAACCUUUAUUUUUCUAGGUUGACCUCGGAUCAGGUAGGGAUACCCGCUGAACUUAAGCAUAUCAAUAAGCGGAGGA
rnacentral:misc_RNA from 1 species